UGGUGUGUACUCAUUGAUGUACUGUAUAUGAAAUUAAUGAAGCAGUAAUUUGACAAAUACAAGCAAUGACAUCUCAUAUAUAUUGUUCAUUGAUUAAAAUAUGGAAUAUUUUUCUGGUGUCCUUCACAAAUGAGACAAUUAAUCCUUCAGAUAUAAAAGAAUGCUUCAAGGUCAACAGAAUAUGACUGAAAUUAUAAAGGCUAAUAGAUCUAAUGUAGUUUCUUAUUAUCAUUAUUAUUGACAUAUUGUGAUGUCUUGCACUAAUCAGUGUUUGUUUUGUAUUAUAUUUCAGAUAUAAUAGUAUUAAUAUUGAGAUGAUUAUUUAGUUACCAUCAACUGGUCAGUGGUCAAACGGGAGUAUUUCUGUGUGUCUUGAAGCAUUGAAUGCCCCAAAACAACCAGUAUGAUAAGAAGACCAGAGUAUACAGCUUCCCAAAAUGUUGAAAGACUAAGCUGUUUUUCUAUGGACUUGCAAGUAUUUUGAAUGUUUUAUUUCUCUUUUUAACCUUAUGAUUGAAUAUUUCAUUUCAAUUAGUCAUGACACUAAGUCUUUUUCUAGUAAUUUGCAUCUACAUUUCAACAUGUUUACACUUUUUCUUACACAGAAAGAUUAUAUUAUUUUUAUUUCUUUCAUUCUAGGUAUACUAUCUAGGUUGAAAACAGGCAAUGGACAAUGAAUUUGGAGGUGCAUGCUGGAGCAUCAGAAAUUACAUACUUGGAAUAAAUAAUUGCACAAUACACAUUUACGUAGAAGUGACAGUGAUGUUAAAGUGCAAUAUCCAUGUUUGUAACAUUUACUUGGGGGUAAUAGUUACAGUGUUGAAAGAGACUACCAGUGUUAAUUUAUCACAUUCCUACAUCAUUAUUUUAUAUAAAAUGCUUGUAGUUAUAUAAUAUAUGUCAGGUUAAAUGGUAAUAAAUUUUG
rnacentral:lncRNA from 1 species